GAAGCAUGAGAAGCCUAACCUCACGGCCUUCCCUCCUAAGCUGGUGGUGGAGCAGUUGACAGUGAUGGAUGCGACCGUAGAGGUGGACACUAACAGGACCUGCU